UCACACCCGUGCGGGAGAGCUCCGGGCCUGGCUCGGAGCGCCGAAGGAGCAAGAUCUCCCCGCAAACUCUCAGGCCCAAGACCGCCGGGUCAGG
rnacentral:ncRNA from 2 species